rnacentral:rRNA from 1 species
GGCAAGUGCGGGGUGCUAUACAUGCAAGUCGAACGCACAGCGAAAGGUGCUUGCACCUUUCAAGUGAGUGGCGAACGGGUGAGUAACACGUGGACAACCUGCCUCAAGGCUGGGGAUAACAUUUGGAAACAGAUGCUAAUACCGAAUAAAACUUAGUGUCGCAUGACACAAAGUUAAAAGGCGCUUCGGCGUCACCUAGAGAUGGAUCCGCGGUGCAUUAGUUAGUUGGUGGGGUAAAGGCCUACCAAGACAAUGAUGCAUAGCCGAGUUGAGAGACUGAUCGGCCACAUUGGGACUGAGACACGGCCCAAACUCCUACGGGAGGCUGCAGUAGGGAAUCUUCCACAAUGGGCGAAAGCCUGAUGGAGCAACGCCGCGUGUGUGAUGAAGGCUUUCGGGUC